rnacentral:rRNA from 1 species
UACCAGCUCUCCGAGUGGUAGGGAUGUUUAUUGGGCUUAAAGCGUCCGUAGCCGGCUUAGCAAGUCUCCUGUUAAAUUCAGCGACCUAAUCGUUGAGCCGCGGGAGAUACUACUAGGCUAGGAGGCGGGAGAGGUCAACGGUACUUCCGGGGUAGGGGUGAAAUCCUAUAAUCCCGGGAGGACCACCAGUGGCGAAGGCUGUUGACUAGAACGCGCUCGACGGUGAGGGACGAAAGCUGGGGGAGCGAACCGGAUUAGAUACCCGGGUAGUCCCAGCUGUAAACGAUGCGGGCUAGGUGUUGGGGUGGCUACGUGCCACUUCAGUGCCGCAGGGAAGCCAUUAAGCUCGCCGCCUGGGGAGUACGGCCGCAAGGCUGAAACUUAAAGGAAUUGGCGGGGGAGCACCACAAGGCGUGAAGCUUGCGGUUC